UAUAAAAGAUGUGGUUCGAGUAUUACAUUCUUCAAUCAAAAUAAUUCUAAUGUAGUUAAUUAGUAAAAAUACUUGUUUAUACAAAUCUUAAAUCAACUAAUGUAUUUAUUAGCUAUACAAAACAACCUAGAUAAGGAGAUUCUAUAUACAUAUAAAACCCCUUUUUCCCGUGUCACAAUCAGAGCGGAGCUUCACCGACGACUCGACAUCGAAUACCACAAAAACCUG
rnacentral:lncRNA from 1 species